GCUGGAAUUGCUACGUAAUGGCAGGUCAGCAUACUGCCGUGAAUACGUUCCCGGGCCUUGUACACACCGCCCGUCACACCAUGAGAGUUGGGAAUACCCGAAGCCUGUGAGCUAACUUAUAGAGGCAGCAGUCGAAGGUAGAAUCAAUGAUUGGGGUGAAGUCGUAACAAGGUACC
rnacentral:rRNA from 1 species